UGCAAACCGUUGAUGCGGAGAUAACGGCGAUGAUGCUUCUACAGAGAGUCUGCGAUGCUGAGAUGCAGAUGAAAAACAAGUCGUCAAAUGGACCGCUGAGGGCGCAGGGAAAGCCGUGGGGCAAGUAUUCUGCGACGUGAGGGCAUACGUCAGUUGCCGGGGAUAUGUUGGUAUCCCGACAAGGGUAUGGUUUUACCAUAAAACAGGGUGGCACCGCGGAGUUUAUGAUUUCGUCCCUGGC
rnacentral:ncRNA from 1 species